rnacentral:rRNA from 1 species
AGAGGCCCGCCGCGGUAACGACGGGUAACGGGGAAUCAGGGUUCGAUUCCGGAGAGGGAGCCCCGAGAAAACGGCUACCACUUCCAAGGAAGGCAGCAGGCGCGCAACUUACCCCUAAUCUCGAUUCGAGGAGGUAGUGACAAGAAAUACCGAUGCGGGACCCUACGGGUGCCGCGUUCGGAAUGAGUACGAUUCGAACCACCUAACGAGGAACGAUCGGAGGGCAAGUCUGGUGCCAGCAGCCGCGGUAAUUCCAGCUCCAAUAGCGUACGUUAAAGUUGCUGCAGUUAAAAAGCUCGUAGUUGAACGUUCGGGGUUCCGCGGGACGGGGCCGCCCCGCGAGGGACGGCGCCGCCCCGGGGCUCGUGAUAUCUCAUCUCGCCGCCCGUCGCGAGGCGGACGGAGGGAUGGAUGAGGUUACCUGGAAAAAAUCGGGGCGAUCUAGGCGGGCGAACCUCGCCAACGAACGAUCGGACAUGGG